rnacentral:sRNA from 2 species
GCCCCGUUUCCUGGCUGCGGCGGGUUCUGUGACGUGGAACAAACCCGAAGCCUCUGUAAUAGUAUGCCCUCCAAAAGAUUCGUCCAUUUAGUUUUUGCCUCCUGACUUCCCCUUUAUCACUUGCAGGCCCCUUGACUGCUCCGCUCUGGCCAGCUCUAUUCACCAAAAGUAUAUAGAACCGCGCAAGGACCCGCUGGCAUAUUAGCAUAUCAAACGCCUCCUCUAUACCCCCGACUUCUCUCCCCAAGACCCGCUGUGUUGGUUUGUGUGCACGGGUGUAUGCUUGCACAUGGAGACUGCAAGAAACUAGAUUCAAAGCUACAUACAUUCCAGCCCUUCAUAUCAAGAAAAGAACAUCCAAUCGAAUGACAGACAAAACACAGCCAUGUUCAAACGCAUCGUCUUCACGACAGUUACUCCUCUCCCUUCCUAUAUCCCGCGGGACCUCGUCAUCAAGACCCUCCAUGCCCACAGUGAGAUGAUAGAGCUGAACCCGCUGGUGAUCAAACAUAAACGUUGCAAAGCCCCGCCAAACGCCCCGCCAGACGAAUUCCACUGCAUCUGGUAUGAGCUGACAGACAACAUCCACUAUCUCCCCGGCCGCAUAAUACGGGGCAACGUCACCUACAAGGCCUGCUUCCACGAUCUCCAACGCGGCCUACAAACACAUAUCUACGCACCCACGAACCUCGACAUCCGGAAUCGAUGGACGGUGUGCGGGAACAUGCCCGGCGAGCCGCGGGAGCCGGUCGAACUGGGCCUCACCAACGUGCCGCGUGAAGGCCUCUUCCUCAGAGAAGACGUCGACAUGCGAUGCAACACCUUCGCCGCCAGCUUCGUCAAGAAGACGCUGAAGGACGCACACGCCGUGCUGGUGGAUCGGCUGAUCAUGAAGGCCGACCUGCUCAAGGGGAAGAUAGACCGGCUAUACUCAACCCUCGGCGCCGACGAACAGCGCUCCCGCUCCUUCUGCACAAACCAGGCC